AUGGUGAAGUGGAGGAGUGACCUAGAGGACAAGACCACGUCAGAAGGAGAGAAAACACGCACAGUCACUGCACAAGGAAUCAGUUCCGGAGGCCGUACGCCUCCUCCUGCACCCCGGCAGAGGCGGUUGAACAUACAUAGGCUUACUGGCUCUCCUAUGAGACAGAAGGUGUACCAUGAACAGAUCGGCAGACUCGACACCGGGGGUGCCAGACCGUCGUUACCUGAGGACGAAUCAGUCAUCAGUUCAGCUGGAGCAGAGAUUUGGUCUACUUCUUGUAAAUCAGAGUCAGAUGACUUGUUAUCUGGCUGCAGUGUUUCUCCCACAUCUGGAAGCAGAUCAGCAGAAAAAAGGGUUAAAACCUUUCCAAAAUAGGAAUCAUUCUCUAUAGCCUGGACGCUGUCAUCCAGAUUCUGGAGUUUCUCAUUUAUAUUGGAGAGUUGCUGCUGAAUGUGUCCCUUCUUUUCAGUUAGAAAAUCCAUCAAAAGUGUAUCUCUAUCUACAGCCAUCUUGGAGAUGCCACAGAAUGCUUAAUUUUGUUUUAAAUGAACCCUUUAGGCGCCAUAGUUUUUUCAGUAAAAUAUGAAUUUUUUAUAUCACUAUUUAAUGAGCUUGUAGCUUAAAUCUGGUUAGAGAUAGAGGAAUUAGAGCCCUGCACGGGCCUAAAAUCUGAGCCUGUGUCCGGCCCGGCCCGAGGGGGUGGAGCCCCGGCCCGGCCCGGUCCGAAAAGGUUUUCAGGAUUCUCUGGCCCGACCCGAGCCCGACAUUUUUUAACCAACUAAAUGAAAACAAAGUGCGUCAAUCCUGACCAAUGUGUUAAAAGACGUGCAGGAUCCGAUCAAUUUGUUUUACCCUCAUUUACCGUCACGGAGAUGACGGCGCACUGGCUCUGGUGGUAAUCAAGUUAAAUUUUAUCUCUUUCCAACAAUUUUCACAAGAAAUCAAAACAGUUAAAAGCAGGGCUUGUGUUGUGUUGACCGGAUAGUUCCCGAUUUGACCGUUUAUUUUGACGGAGAAAGAAUAGAAAGAAUUACCCCGACGCAUGCAGACGAACUGACAUUUUAUUCGUUACGCACAUUGCAAAUGUAGCUAAAUCACCCAAGAAAAGAUUCCCAUCUGAACAUCUGAGCUGGACACUGCUCAGCGCAGCUCGCUGUCAGCGCAUAUGUGCACAGCAAGCUAAAGUUCUGUUCAGGUUUACGCAGACAAUCUUUACAUAGAAUUGACUUACAGAUUUGGGUUGGUGCCCUCGGACUACGUGAGGCUCUGCAAUGCUGCUGCUUUGGGCCCUGGCAAGAUGGGCUGGGGUCUCCAUGCCCUGGGUGGCAUUUUGACAACAGAGGUGCCUAUUGGGGCCAGUGGGGGAGCUGGCUCCCUGGAGGGCUAAGUGCAACCAGCCAUUCCUCCCCAUUCCCGCAUAUUUUUCUCCUCCUGCUCCCUCACAUCAUCACACAAACAUGCACAUAAGGACCUUGGGGGGUGGACAAGUCAGGGAGUGCGGGUAUGGACUCCAUUUCCGCAUUCCUGUGGUAACCUGCCCCCCUAUUUUAUCUGCACUUUAAACACUUCCACCAACGUCAUUCCACGCAAGCACACACUUAGGGCCUUGGGAGUGAGCACAUUCAACGGCAGUUGGCAGGGGGAUUUCUCAGCCUCAUCAUGGGUGCCGGUACUCACUUCCAAAUUUAAACCGCACUUAGACACAGAGGGCUGUGGGUGCAAGUGCGGUGGUGUGGUGGCAUCAGCUGGCAGAGGCCAGGCAAUGCCCGCACUGCCCGCUCACCACAGCCAUGGAAUACACCUCAUCAACACACAACACUAUAUUGGAGCAGGCGGAGGGAGACUAGGGGUCUUAGCACACCUCUGUUGUUGCUUGGCUUCCUGGGGCUGGAGGCUAGGAGGGAGAUCUGGCCGUCUGGUUGGGGCCUGGGGUGGUGGGUUGCUGUGCUCAGCGUUGGGCGGGGGAGCCUGCUCAUCAGCACCCCAGCAGAAAGGGUCGAACUCUGGGAACCGGUAAUGGUUGUACCCCAUGUGCAGCAGUACCGGGACCAGAGUGAAUAGGGUGUGUAUGGGGAGCAUGAAUGGGUGUCCGGCAUGCAUUUUUGUAAGUCUUUGGUUGUAUGUGCAUGUAUGAGCAUGAGGGAGGGAGUGUGUGACUGUGUUUGUGUAUGGCUGGAUAUGUCAGGUGGGGCCUUUGACUCCUCUCUUCUCCUGGGCCUUCUUUUGAUGAUAUAGAUCUUCGUCUCAGCUCCCCCUGCCACACCUGGUGUGGAGUGUGGUGCCUUGGUCUACCUGAAUGUUCGUGGCUCCCGGGUCAGGGGGUUUAACAUUUUUGGCAUCUGCCUGAUCAAUUCCGGUGGCUGUCUGGUGGGGUCUGGGUCCCUGGGCUCUGCUGGGUCCCCAGCGGGGAUGGUCACCCCUGGGUCACUGGGUCCCGGGCUUGGCCAGCUAGGGGGUGGGAGGUUACGGGCGGGCCUGUGGGCUUGCCGCUGAUAUCUCCCGGGACUCUGACGGCUGCUGGUUGUGGCCCCCCGGGGCGAUCCUCUGUGCCUCUCGAGGGGGGCGGGGGCCUUUCUGGUUGCAGUCUCCUUGGGGUUCCUGUGUUCUGGGGCAGCUCCUGGAUCUCUGGGACUUGGAGCUCCCCCCGUCUCCUACACAUCUUUGGGGGGCAGAUCUGUGGUCCCUCACGCUCUCUAUUGGACGCUUUUAUAGAGAAACCUUACAUAAACAAGCGCGUGUACAUACACAGGUGCUCACAUGGUACUCUCAUAAGUAUGGACUUGGGCACGUUCAACACACGUCUUAAGGCUGUCGUUGUCACUAAAUGCACUAUGAUUUAUUAUCGUGUGAUUGUUCAGUUAAACAAUGUUGAUUUUAUAUUUCAUCAUCAGGCUGACGCAGUGAUAGCUUGCUCCUGAUGUAUUGUUGUGUGUCCCAUUUUUUUCUAUUCUUUCUCUUUCUACAGGUCUAGAGGCAGACUCUUGUUCAUUAUUGUUUAUUUUUGUGGAAACCCCCCUUUCCCCCACCUUUUGUCUUUUCCUUUCUCUUUCACCUCUGUCUCCGUGUCUGGUCGGAAUCACAAAGCAUUCAAAAACAAUAACAAUAAAGUUUUAAGUAUCAGGCGUGACAUUAAAAGCAGAAGCUUUGAUGCUCCACCUGAGAUUAAAUUCCUGAGAUUAAAUCUGUAAGGCUUGUUACCAGCAUUCAGACAUCAAUUCUGUUUGCUUCACAGCCGAACAGGACACAGAGAAAAUAAAACAAAUAAAAAAAUUAAAAAAAUGAGCUUGUAUCCAGAGAAGCAAGUCUGAGUGGGAGAUGAUGUUUUGCUCCUAACUGUGAUCAGAGUUUGACCGGAGUAGUUUCAUAAACACUAGGCGCCUUAUUUGUCGCAUCCACACAUACUCUCAGUGAGACCUCUGUACAGAUCCGGAGUGCCAGGUCCAUGGACCCUCCUCUGGUACUGGAGCUGAUGGAACAGCGUCGACAGCAUGACAAACCAGUCUUUGGAUCGUCUUCAGGUAAAAAGCGAAAGGUGGUUCUUAGCGUCAAAAGGGGACCCUGCUUGGGUCAGUGAGUUCAGCUUUUAUUCUGAAAGGAACCAUUGCUUGGUUGGUAAAAUGCAACAGCUUUUCCAGCUUGGUGGUUCUCAGCUUAAAAAGGGAAGUCCGGAUGGCCGGUCUGAUACUCCGCUUAGCAUGCGGUGAACUCCAGUGAGAUCUUGAGAACUGAACUAAGAUGGUGUUGGAAUUGGUUUUAUUAAUCUGGAUGUUUUGAAUUCUGGUCGAAUCAAAGCUGGCAGAUUUAUAAACACCACAGAGACUAUGCCACGCUUCAGACUAGGAAGGUUCUGAUUGGAUCAGUACAGCAAUGUGUCAUGCGUUGUUUACAUUACGUGCGUCAGUGUGUCUAGUGAAACAGAUUGUCAUAUUACUUAUUAUAACAUAUUAAUCAUAACAUUAUGAUUUCACAGAUCGGUCACAUUAUAUUAUUGACUAAGGGUUAGUUGAAAAUCAAAAUUUACUAUUUUAGGUUGAACAAGAAUUAGUGAGAAGACACGAAAACGCUGAAUUUUCUAAACUAUGAACAUGAAGGAAGAAAAACUUGAAAAACCAUAACUAUGAUCAGAGCAGAUGUCACCCUUGUCCACCUACUAAACUUACACUUGAGGAACAACACCAGGUUCACAUAUUAAAGCAUUUCAGAGUUUCACAUUUUAUGCUGCAAACCUCUAAAGACUAUAAACCCCAACACCACCGUGUUUUAUGGGAACCUUUGGAAAAGAAAAAUGGCACAAGCAGUUUCUCUGUAAAUAUUAACAUUUAUUUAAGUAUACAAUUUAGUAUUUCCACUCUUUGCCCACCUGAUCCUAUUCACAGGUUUCACAUCAGUAUUUGGGCUUCUCUGUGCAGCAUUAAGCCUCGCUUGAGGGCAGUAAAAACAGAAAAGACAGUUAAAACAAGCCAAGUUUUCUUUUUUUUAUACCACUAACAAACAGAAAAGUCACAGGCAACAUCAAACCUGCCAAGCUGCUGGAAAUGCCACAUUUGGUUUGUUAUUUGCUUUUUUCAUCAUUUAGACUAAGGAGGCAUUUAUAGUUGCAUUGCAUAAAUCAUAUGUAGUUAAUGAGAAAAAAUGAUGCUGAUUUUAUUCUCGUCAUGCGAGUCUGAUGAUAUAAAACGAUGCAACAAAGUCCCAUCUCAGGUGAGACCUCCUUCAUGUAACAGACUGAAUAAAUGAAAUCAUUAAACUUAGACGAUCAAAUAAAAACUAGCACAAACAAAUGCACACAGAAAUAAAACAGAAGGAGAACAAACAAACUAACAGAGGCUGUGUGCAAAUACGUUUAAUCACAUCAAAAUAAGAGUUGGAGAUCCACGUAAGGUGACGGAGCAGCCGCAUUUUGGUCUUUGAAUAAACAACACUGUAACAUUACUAAACUACACUUUCAUUAAGAAGAGUUAGAAAAUAAGGUGGUAAGAAAAUAGUGUUAUUUAUGAGUCUUAUAUAUCCUGCCUGUCCGCUUGCUUAAGUCUCCUUUUAAAGUUUCUCAAACAAGGAAUAAAAUGUAACAGAAAUAUUUUCUGAGAAACUCCUACACAUUGUUUUUAUUUAUUAUUAUUACUGUGGGACAGAUAGCUUUCUGCUAGUGAUGCGUUUAAGUGCUUCCAAUGACACGAUGCAAGUGGAGCAGCUGUUACCAUGACGACGUGUAGAAACAGAACAGUUUAACGGAUGAGGUAUUGCACAGAUUAUUCCGUAAAAUCAUAGAAAAGCAAAAUAAAUAUACAACUAAUUCAUACAACAUUUACAUGACGGCUGUAGUCUGGAAGAGUUUUAGUGUCGGCGAUCG
ensembl:lncRNA